CCAUCAUAAAUAUCAUUGAAACUCUUUUUAAUGAAUUGAAAUAAUUUCAACUCAUCCAACGAGAAUUAUUGAUCAUCAAUUAAUUUUUACGGAUCUCACAAUCCACCAGUGAUGCCUAGUAGCAUGUAGUAGCAAUCUAGCAGAAUGGAAGAAUUUGAACCUCAAGGUGUGUUACGGGUGAUUCAAAUCUUCUAUCAUGAGUCCUGAUAAGAUAGAGAUUAUG
rnacentral:lncRNA from 1 species